GGAGUGUGUCCACGGAUUUGUGCUAUUAAUCCGGUCAAGUCCUGUUUCGAAGCACGUCUCGGACCUGGCGCAUCCAAUCUGGAUUGGAAGCAAGUUUACUUGCUCUUGAGACGCUCAGAAGAAAGACGACUGAGCAGUUCAGAUUUUGAGUGGUCUCAGGGGUGGUGGAGACCAAAGCUUCAGAGAUGCCUAAGGCCUUUAUUGGUGAGAGUGUUGGAAGGUGAUACUAAUAGCGCCCACUUAUUGUCUGCUGAUCACAUAUCUAGGUGUUUACUUAACGCUGCUUAAUCCUAAACAAUAUGAGACAGGAAUUAUCCUCGUUUGCUGUUUAACUAAGGAAGGUCAGUUCCCCUUCUUUACAGACCUGAACUGUAAAGAUCACUGUUUAAAACUUAUUCUGCUACAGGUUUUUUGUUUUUGUUUUUUAAAUAGUGUAGGGGCUUUGCAUGGAUACAUUAUUUUAUGAGGGUUAAAACUCUGUGAUAAGGAGUUUAAUACUCUAUGUUAGCAGUCCUGAAAUUGUGAUUUCUUGGGGUCCUCUUCAGUGGUUGACUCUAUAGAUGGUACUUAUAGGAUGAAAAAUCUGUAAAACGAUUGUUAAAGAAUUUGCUCCUUGACUCUGUUGACCCAUUACUCUGCUCUAGGGCAGAAAAAGAUUUUGCAUUCAUCCUCAGAGUAGACUUUCCUGUAUUGCAGCAGUAAGAUAAGGUGCAUGUAAGGGGAGGUACCAGGAAUAGCUGGGUGUGGGAAGACACGACCUGAAAUAGAGAAGGAAGGGAGGAGAAAAAAGAAACAGAAGGUCUGAGUUAAGGGGCCUUCUUGAUUUAUUCCAUGGAAACAGAAAUUUGUGUUUAUGUAGCCUUUUAUAGCCUUCCAGUAAUCCUAGAAGUAGAUGUGGGGUGUAUCAUUCCUAUUUUAUAGAGGAAGUAUACCCAAAGGGUCUAAGAAUCUUGCUCAAGGUGACCUACCUCUUAAAGGUUGAGCCAAGAUUUAGUCACAGGAUGUGCAACAGCAAGGCCAUUGAACUACUAAGCUACCACACUGCCUCUCUGUUCAAUAUUUGGGACCAAUAAAAUUGAUUUUCAGAGUUGGGAGGAGCCUUCGGUAAUAUGAACUGCUCUCAUGUCCUGGAGUGGAAAAUUUCCUGCCUCCCGAGACAUAUUUUUCCUUUGCAUUUUUUAGAAACCAUUUUCCUUGUAUUUGCCCAUCUUGCCCUCUCUUUCAUGAGUAGUUUCCCCCCUUUUUCCUCUUCUAAGUGACAUCCCUAAGUACGUACUAAUACACCGAACCACUCUAUCCCACUCCUCUCCUGCUUAUCCACCUAACUAUCCCAACCACAGAUUCUCAUCCUAAGCAAUAACCUAUUGCUUUCAUCUUCUGUUCACAGAUGUGAUUUAAAGUCUUUUUGCAUCUUCCCUGGUUGCUCUUAAUUGAAUUUGAACAUAUUUGUGUCAGUAUUUUUAAGAUUCUGAAACCAAACACAAGAGUCAGGGAGAGUAGGAGGAGGACUUGGCUCUUCUUUCCUUAGUCUUCUGUUAAAUUAGUUUGUUUCCAUCCCCUGCUCUUUUUUUAAGAGUUUGACAAUUUCAAGGCAGACCUUCAAGUUUCCUCCGUGUGGAUUUAUCUUUUUAUUCAAAACCAGAUUUGCAAUAGCUUUUCUGACAUUUUCAUGCAACAAACAUCAAAUUUAUAAUCCAGACUAUAUUAUACACCCUUAAAAUGUUUCACAACUUUUGAAAAUGCUUUUUACAGAUUUUUUGGACAACAGUAGCUUUCAUGAGUGUCCUUAAUUAGUAUCGAAGCAGGAGAGGCCCAGGAUUUUAGAAAGCCCACAGGCCAAACACUACUUAUUGAAGUCCCAUUGUUGCUAAAUUGAUCUUUCUAAUUAUAUCAGUGUCUAAAUCCAAAAUAAAUCCUUAAGAACUUUGUGCCACUCAAUAAUAUUUGAACUUAAAAUCCAAAAUUCAAAGUGCUCCAAAACCCAAAAUUUAUGUUAAUGUUUAAAAAGUAGUUUUUGGAGCAUUUUCAGAUUUUUAGAGUAGGGAUGCUUAAUUGAUAAACUCUAUAUAGAUAUUUCCACCUCCCCCACAAUCCAAAAUCUGAAACACUCUAUUAAACUAGUUUGUUUCCAUCCCCUGCUCUUUUUUUAAGAGUUUGACAAUUUCAAGGCAAACCUUCAAGCUUCCUCCGUCUGGAUUUAUCUUUUAAAUCCAGCAUAUUAGACAAAGGAUACUUAACUUGUAUUGUUAAAGCAUGGUAAUAAAGACUUUAUUCGGGACCAUUGCAGUGGGUUCUAGAAGUGGAGAGAGAAGUUGAGCAAGUGGGGAUUUAUAAAAAAGGAGCAGAAUAGGGG
rnacentral:lncRNA from 1 species